rnacentral:lncRNA from 1 species
UAAAGCUCUUCUCCAUCUUGCUAAGCCUCCAUUUGUCCGCAAUACCUCAUCUCCCUGGACGCAGGACAAGAACUCAGGACCCGCCUGGAGGUGCCCACAGCAGAAUCCACAUGCCGUCCAUCUGGUCCAGCCUCACGCAGAGCCACAACUGUGCUGGCGCCUGGAGCUGCCAGCCCCACUGCAGCAGCCGGACUGACAUUCAGACGUGGAGCAAGUUGGACUGCAUAGGGACCCACCAGUGAGAUGGACGCUGUCUGUAAACGGUUCUCCAGGGAGGCUGCUCUGCCAAGUCUGGUAUUUCAUGAAUAGAUCUGAAAACAGACAUUAUCUCUUCUCCCAGUGAAGAGAGAGCGAUGAAGCCUCAGGACAAAAGGAGGCAGUGGGAUGAUGCCACCAAGGGACCAUUCUGAAGAGCCAUCAGCAAAAAGCAGCCACACCUGCUUAUGUGGCUCUGGGACAAAUGAUCUGAGCCGUGACGUGGAACUUAGAUGCAGUAAAGUCCAUUGUAUUGAGCCUUCUCUGGCACUCCUCCCAAAACAGAGAGACAACAGUUCUGUUAUGUUUUGUUUGGUUUGGUCUCCCUCAACUCAUCAAUGAGCCUUUUUAAAAAGAAUAAUUCGGUACUUUCUUUAAAGGUGGUAGAAUUGGCUCUUACUCUAGUCUGUUUUCUCCUUCCUAAGGGAGGAGCAUCCUUCUUGUUAACACAGAACCCCAAACUAUCUGAUCAGAAAGAAAAUAAUUCAAUCUGCUGUUUGAAUUGACUUCCAGCAGCGUCUUAAAUUUUAAUUGGCCCCCGGCCUAAAACAACCUCAAACUGUAUGUCUUCCAUACUCCUCUCACCACCACCAUCACCACUGCCCCUACAACCACUCUAAGCAUAGUACAUAUGGUGAACAUACCAUGAUAUUGAAUGCUAUUCUCACUCUGCCUUCUCUUAAUCUGAUCUUACUCAGGUUCUGACAGUUGACGCUGAAAACAUUUUUUGUUGUUGUUGUGGUUGAGACAGAGUUUCGCACUUGUUGCCCAGGCUGGAGUACAGUGGUGCGAUCUCGGCUCACUGCAACCUCCGCCUCCCGGGUUCAAGUGAUUCUCCUGCCUCAGCUCCCCAAGUAGCUGGGAUUACAGGCAUGUGCCACCAUGCCUGACUAAGUUUGUAUUUUUAGUAGAGACGGGGUUUCUCCAUGUUGGUCAGGCUGAUCUCGAACUCCCGACCUCAGGUGAUCCGCCUGCCUCGGCCUCCCAAAGUGCUGGGAUUACUGGUGUGAGCCACCAUGCCCGGCCAUGACACUGAAAACAUUUUAAAGGAGAAACAGAUUACCAAUUAUCCAUAAAGAUGAGAAUUAUCUGGCAACAUUUUGGUUAGAUGAAAACUGUGACUAGAGAGCUAACAAAAACAAACACAAUGAGCACUAGAUAUCUGCCAGGCAUUGUUCACAGCCCCUUUUUUGGUCUCAUCUGAUCCUUGCUGUAGAUCAGGAAUCAACAAACUAAGCUUUCACCACUUGUCAGGGGUAAAGCCAUGUCAGUCUGAGUCCCAAUGCCACACUGUUAGCCACUCUCCCACACCACCUGCUCCAACUAUUUGAAGAAGGAGAAUGUUUUUCCAGUUAAUAAAGUUAAUAGU